UACGUAGGGGGCAAGCGUUGUCCGGAUUUAUUGGGCGUAAAGAGCGUGUAGGCGGCCAGGUAGGUCCGCUGUGAAAACUCGAGGCUUAACCUCGAGAUGUCGGUGGAAACCAUCUGGCUAGAGUCCGGAAGAGGAGAGUGGAAUUCCUGGUGUAGCGGUGAAAUGCGCAGAUAUCAGGAAGAACACCAAUGGCGAAGGCAGCUCUCUGGGACGGUACUGACGCUGAGACGCGAAAGCGUGGGGAGCGAACAGG
rnacentral:rRNA from 1 species